GAAAGUUUUUUGUUUUUUUUUUUUUUGAGUAUGGCCCUGUAUGAUGUCAUAAAGGUCAGAAUUCCUUGUAUGGGCCCUUCUCCUGGAAGAGUGUGCGCACACUUCAACCAGUGCGAGAGCACACCCAUCAACGUGCUUCAUUCGGGUUAUGGAAGUCAUCGCCACCAGUGCACAGGACUUGUGCAAGUGUGUUCAUUUGUUACUGGCAUUUAGGUGAUUAAUGUUUUAUAAACAAAUUUAAUAACAUUUAAGUCAAUAACGUUUCCUGUUUUAUUUAUGUCAAUGUCACAGCUUCCAGACGAUCGCUACGGAAAAGCUUUGCGUGCUCGUGACUCUUUAGCUCUGCCCACUACACGCCUCCAGGAGCUCGACUGUUUUCGG